GAGGGUGUAGCUCAGUGGUAGAGUGCGUGCUUAGCGUGGACGAGGUCCUGGGUUCAACCCCCAGUUCUUCUG
rnacentral:tRNA from 1 species